AACGAACGCUGGCGGCAUGCCUAACACAUGCAAGUCGAACGAGACCUUCGGGUCUAGUGGCGCACGGGUGCGUAACGCGUGGGAACCUGCCCUUAGGUUCGGAAUAACUCCCCGAAAGGGGUGCUAAUACCGGAUAAUGUCUUCGGACCAAAGAUUUAUCGCCUUUGGAUGGGCCCGCGUUGGAUUAGCUAGUUGGUAGGGUAAAAGCCUACCAAGGCGACGAUCCAUAGCUGGUCUGAGAGGAUGAUCAGCCACACUGGGACUGAGACACGGCCCAGACUCCGACGGGAGGCAGCAGUGGGGAAUAUUAGACGAGGGGCGAAAGCCUGAUACAGCAAUGCCGCGUGAGUGAUGAAGGCCUUAGGGUUGUAAAGCUCUUUUACCCGAGAUGAUAAUGACAGUACCGGGAGAAUAAGCUCCGGCUAACUCCGUG
rnacentral:rRNA from 1 species